rnacentral:rRNA from 1 species
GGGAUAAGCCUGGGAAACCGGAGCUAAUACCGGAUAUGAAUUUCAUCCGCAUGGUUGUAAAGUGAAAGAUGGUUUUGCUAUCACUUAUAGAUGGACCCGCGCCGUAUUAGYUAGUUGGUAAGGUAACGGCUUACCRAGGCGACGAUACGUAGCCGACCUGAGAGGGUGAUCGGCCACACUGGAACUGAGACACGGUCCAKACUCCUACGGGAGGCAGCAGUAGGGAAUCUUKCGCAAUGGGCKAAAGCCUGACGGARCAACGCCGCGUGAGUGAUGAAGGCUU